rnacentral:lncRNA from 1 species
AGAGAAGUGGGAAAGAACAGGACAGCAGCAUUCUAGAAUGAACUGAAUUUUGCCUGGGAGAAAUGAGUAUUUCUCUGGUGGGGGCAAGUCUAGCUGAGCUGGCCUCCUCAGGCCCUUGAAAGCGAGCCUUAGACUUUGCGAGAAUAGGCCCAAAUGGGCAACCGGCCGAUCCCCAGGGGAAGUCUUCUCUCUGUCAUGGCAGCAGUUCCAGCCCCACAAAUAGAUGCCAGUACGGUAGCCCCUCGGAUCACAGGAGGUAUUUUUGGUGCUGGAAGCCAGCCACACUUUGGCAGCCUUUCAGCAUGGUCUGCUCCUUUCAGAGGUGGAGGCUGGCAAGCCGUCAGUGGUUAGCAUGGGAAUGCUGCCUGCAAGUGUGCGCACGCAUAUAUUUAGGGAGCCUUGAGUGGGAUGGGGGCUGGGUUUGGGAGGCUGUGUGCCUGGACCUGUGGUCGGGAGGCGAGUGGGCUCCUGCAUGUCAGUGUCAGCAGUGAGGGAUCCUUGGGUGGUAUAAGUCUGUUACCAGCCUCGCCUGUGGUUCCCAAAACUGAGACCACUGAUGCCACCACCAGCUCGAUCUAUCUCUGCUCUAAGAUGCGUGUCAUCUUUCUCUUGCCCUGACCCUGACUUCCACAUCGCAAGGCAGGGACAUGUUCCCCUUGUGGGUGGGGCCUUCUGUCUCCCAUGCUGUGCCUCACCUUCACCCAGCAGUGUCUGUCAGGCAACCUUCUCUACCCCCCACCUCAUUGAGAGCAAAGAGAUUGGUCUGAUGGCCAGGCUGGAGUGUGCAGGCCAAGUCCCAUGAAUGAAAGGGGAGGCUGCUGAGAUGCCAGAGUGGCCAGCCUCUGGCUGGGCAGUGGGGACAGGGGACCAGGACACAGCACCAGGGCACCUGCUCCAGGAUUCCCAGCACCAUUCAUGAAGACAUCACCCUCUGCUGUCCUCCCCUCCCAUCCCUUCCCAAAUCCCAUUCUCCUAUGUGUUUCAAACAGUAGCAGGCCUGUUGAGGAGCCACAUCAAACAAGGGCGGAUUUCAAUCCUUUCUUGCUAACCCUCCUACAAGUGGAGCUGAAGUCUCUGUGUACCUUGCCCUCUUUCCCUAACCCUAACCCUGCCUCUGUCCUUCCAUCUAGAAUGUUGCUCUGGGAGAAGAAUAUUCUCUGUGAGGCCCAGCAAACUGCAGCCUUAAACCUCCUGAAACAGGUCCUUGGAACAAUUUGCAAGAAUCCUGCAUGUGCAAGGGGCCUCAGAGUCUGAUCACCCAGCACAGAGACUUCUCAGGACGUGCCACAUCAAGGUAAGGACUUGAGAUGUAGUUGAUGCUCCUCCUGACAUCCCACCAUCCUCCUCUGCCCUCUUGACAGCUCCUCGUUC